UUUAAAUUUUAUAAAAAUUCUAAAAAAUAAAAAAAUAAAUUAAAAUGUUAACUCUUGUCUUAUUAGCUUUCGCUGCUUAUUCUGCAG
rnacentral:ribozyme from 1 species